rnacentral:rRNA from 1 species
GGUUAAGCGACUAAGCGUACACGGUGGAUGCCCUGGCAGUCAGAGGCGAUGAAGGACGUGCUAAUCUGCGAUAAGCGCCGGUAAGGUGAUAUGAACCGUUAUAACCGGCGAUUUCCGAAUGGGGAAACCCAGUGUGAUUCGUCACACUAUCAUUAACUGAAUCCAUAGGUUAAUGAGGCGAACCGGGGGAACUGAAACAUCUAAGUACCCGAGGAAAAGAAAUCAACCGAGAUUCCCCCAGUAGCGGCGAGCGAACGGGGAGGAGCCCAGAGCCUGAAUCAGCAUGUGUGUUAGUGGAAGCGUCUGGAAAGGCGCGCGAUACAGGGUGACAGCCCCGUACACAAAAGCGCAUGUGCUGUGAGCUCGAUGAGUAGGGCGGGACACGUGGUAUCCUGUCUGAAUAUGGGGGGACCAUCCUCCAAGGCUAAAUACUCCUGACUGACCGAUAGUGAACCAGUACCGUGAGGGAAAGGCGAAAAGAACCCCGGCGAGGGGAGUGAAAAAGAACCUGAAACCGUGUACGUACAAGCAGUGGGAGCACAGGUUUACCUGUGUGACUGCGUACCUUUUGUAUAAUGGGUCAGCGACUUAUAUUCUGUAGCAAGGUUAACCGUAUAGGGGAGCCGGAGGGAAACCGAGUCUUAAUUGGGCGUUAAGUUGCAGGGUAUAGACCCGAAACCCGGUGAUCUAGCCAUGGGCAGGUUGAAGGUUGGGUAACACUAACUGGAGGACCGAACCGACUAAUGUUGAAAAAUUAGCGGAUGACCUGUGGCUGGGGGUGAAAGGCCAAUCAAACCGGGAGAUAGCUGGUUCUCCCCGAAAGCUAUUUAGGUAGCGCCUCGUGAAUUCAUCUCCGGGGGUAGAGCACUGUUUCGGCUAGGGGGCCAUCCCGGCUUACCAACCCGAUGCAAACUGCGAAUACCGGAGAAUGUUAUCACGGGAGACACACGGCGGGUGCUAACGUCCGUCGUGAAGAGGGAAACAACCCAGACCGCCAGCUAAGGUCCCAAAGUCAUGGUUAAGUGGGAAACGAUGUGGGAAGGCCCAGACAGCCAGGAUGUUGGCUUAGAAGCAGCCAUCAUUUAAAGAAAGCGUAAUAGCUCACUGGUCGAGUCGGCCUGCGCGGAAGAUGUAACGGGGCUAAACCAUGCACCGAAGCUGCGGCAGCGAACGUAUCACCCAAGACAACUUUACGGAGUUGACGAUUGACGGAGCGAAGCGACGUCAAAGCGUUCAUUAAAGUCGAGUUGGCUUAGGGAUACGUUCGUUGGGUAGGGGAGCGUUCUGUAAGCCUGUGAAGGUGUGUCGUGAGGCAUGCUGGAGGUAUCAGAAGUGCGAAUGCUGACAUAAGUAACGAUAAAGCGGGUGAAAAGCCCGCUCGCCGGAAGACCAAGGGUUCCUGUCCAACGUUAAUCGGGGCAGGGUGAGUCGACCCCUAAGGCGAGGCCGAAAGGCGUAGUCGAUGGGAAACGGGUUAAUAUUCCCGUACUUGGUGUUACUGCGAAGGGGGACGGAGAAGGCUAUGUUGGCCGGGCGACGGUUGUCCCGGUUUAAGCGUGUAGGUGUGUGUUCCAGGUAAAUCCGGUUCACUUUAACACUGAGGCGUGACGACGAGGCACUACGGUGCUGAAGCAACAAAUGCCCUGCUUCCAGGAAAAGCCUCUAAGCAUCAGGUAACACGAAAUCGUACCCCAAACCGACACAGGUGGUCAGGUAGAGAAUACCAAGGCGCUUGAGAGAACUCGGGUGAAGGAACUAGGCAAAAUGGUGCCGUAACUUCGGGAGAAGGCACGCUGACACGUAGGUGAAGUGAUUUACUCAUGGAGCUGAAGUCAGUCGAAGAUACCAGCUGGCUGCAACUGUUUAUUAAAAACACAGCACUGUGCAAACACGAAAGUGGACGUAUACGGUGUGACGCCUGCCCGGUGCCGGAAGGUUAAUUGAUGGGGUCAGCGUAAGCGAAGCUCCUGAUCGAAGCCCCGGUAAACGGCGGCCGUAACUAUAACGGUCCUAAGGUAGCGAAAUUCCUUGUCGGGUAAGUUCCGACCUGCACGAAUGGCGUAAUGAUGGCCAGGCUGUCUCCACCCGAGACUCAGUGAAAUUGAACUCGCUGUGAAGAUGCAGUGUACCCGCGGCAAGACGGAAAGACCCCGUGAACCUUUACUAUAGCUUGACACUGAACAUUGAGCCUUGAUGUGUAGGAUAGGUGGGAGGCUUUGAAGUGUGGACGCCAGUCUGCAUGGAGCCGACCUUGAAAUACCACCCUUUAAUGUUUGAUGUUCUAACGUGGACCCGUAAUCCGGGUUGCGGACAGUGUCUGGUGGGUAGUUUGACUGGGGCGGUCUCCUCCUAAAGAGUAACGGAGGAGCACGAAGGUUGGCUAAUCCUGGUCGGACAUCAGGAGGUUAGUGCAAUGGCAUAAGCCAGCUUGACUGCGAGCGUGACGGCGCGAGCAGGUGCGAAAGCAGGUCAUAGUGAUCCGGUGGUUCUGAAUGGAAGGGCCAUCGCUCAACGGAUAAAAGGUACUCCGGGGAUAACAGGCUGAUACCGCCCAAGAGUUCAUAUCGACGGCGGUGUUUGGCACCUCGAUGUCGGCUCAUCACAUCCUGGGGCUGAAGUAGGUCCCAAGGGUAUGGCUGUUCGCCAUUUAAAGUGGUACGCGAGCUGGGUUUAGAACGUCGUGAGACAGUUCGGUCCCUAUCUGCCGUGGGCGCUGGAGAACUGAGGGGGGCUGCUCCUAGUACGAGAGGACCGGAGUGGACGCAUCACUGGUGUUCGGGUUGUCAUGCCAAUGGCACUGCCCGGUAGCUAAAUGCGGAAGAGAUAAGUGCUGAAAGCAUCUAAGCACGAAACUUGCCCCGAGAUGAGUUCUCCCUGAGACUUAGAGUCUCCUGAAGGAACGUUGAAGACGACGACGUUGAUAGGCCGGGUGUGUAAGCGCAGCGAUGCGUUGAGCUAACCGGUACUAAUGAACCGUGAGGCUUAACCUU